rnacentral:rRNA from 1 species
UAAGGAAUAUUGGACAAUGGGCGCAAGCCUGAUCCAGCCAUGCCGCGUGAGUGAUGAAGGCCCUAGGGUUGUAAAGCUCUUUUGUGCGGGAAGAUAAUGACGGUACCGCAAGAAUAAGCCCCGGCUAACUUCGUGCCAGCAGCCGCGGUAAUACGUAGGGGGCAAGCGUUGUCCGGAUUUAUUGGGCGUAAAGCGCACGCAGGCGGUGCAGUAAGUUUCGAGUGACAGGUGGUGGCUUAACUGCCACAGGUCUUGGAAAACUGCUGCACUUGAGGGCUUGAGAGGGACGCGGAAUUCCAGGUGGAGCGGUGAAAUGCGUAGAGAUCUGGAAGAACACCAAAGGCGAAGGCAGCGUCCUGGCGAGCAACUGACGCUCAUGUGCGAAAGCUAGGGGAGCGAAC